rnacentral:rRNA from 1 species
AACGGCGUCGAGCGGCGGACGGGUGAGUAAUGCCUGGGAAAUUGCCCUGAUGUGGGGGAUAACCAUUGGAAACGAUGGCUAAUACCGCAUAAUAGCUUCGGCUCAAAGAGGGGGACCUUCGGGCCUCUCGCGUCAGGAUAUGCCCAGGUGGGAUUAGCUAGUUGGUGAGGUAAUGGCUCACCAAGGCGACGAUCCCUAGCUGGUCUGAGAGGAUGAUCAGCCACACUGGAACUGAGACACGGUCCAGACUCCUACGGGAGGCAGCAGUGGGGAAUAUUGCACAAUGGGCGCAAGCCUGAUGCAGCCAUGCCGCGUGUAUGAAGAAGGCCUUCGGGUUGUAAAGUACUUUCAGCAGUGAGGAAGGUGGUAGUGUUAAUAGCACUUUCAUUUGACGUUAGCUGCAGAAGAAGCACCGGCUAACUCCGUGCCAGCAGCCGCGGUAAUACGGAGGGUGCGAGCGUUAAUCGGAAUUACUGGGCGUAAAGCGCAUGCAGGUGGUUUGUUAAGUCAGAUGUGAAAGCCCGGGGCUCAACCUCGGAAUAGCAUUUGAAACUGGCAGACUAGAGUACUGUAGAGGGGGGUAGAAUUUCAGGUGUAGCGGUGAAAUGCGUAGAGAUCUGAAGGAAUACCGGUGGCGAAGGCGGCCCCCUGGACAGAUACUGACACUCAGAUGCGAAAGCGUGGGGAGCAAACAGGAUUAGAUACCCUGGUAGUCCACGCCGUAAACGAUGUCUACUUGGAGGUUGUGGCCUUGAGCCGUGGCUUUCGGAGCUAACGCGUUAAGUAGACCGCCUGGGGAGUACGGUCGCAAGAUUAAAACUCAAAUGAAUUGACGGGGGCCCGCACAAGCGGUGGAGCAUGUGGUUUAAUUCGAUGCAACGCGAAGAACCUUACCUACUCUUGACAUCCAGAGAACUUUUCAGAGAUGAAUUGGUGCCUUCGGGAACUCUGAGACAGGUGCUGCAUGGCUGUCGUCAGCUCGUGUUGUGAAAUGUUGGGUUAAGUCCCGCAACGAGCGCAACCCUUAUCCUUGUUUGCCAGCGAGUAAUGUCGGGAACUCCAGGGAGACUGCCGGUGAUAAACCGGAGGAAGGUGGGGACGACGUCAAGUCAUCAUGGCCCUUACGAGUAGGGCUACACACGUGCUACAAUGGCGCAUACAGAGGGCGGCCAACUUGCGAAAGUGAGCGAAUCCCAAAAAGUGCGUCGUAGUCCGGAUUGGAGUCUGCAACUCGACUCCAUGAAGUCGGAAUCGCUAGUAAUCGUAGAUCAGAAUGCUACGGUGAAUACGUUCCCGGGCCUUGUACACACCGCCCGUCACACCAUGGGAGUGGGCUGCAAAAGAAGUGGGUAGUUUAA